GUGCUUGCUUUGGCUGCACAUAUAUUAAAGUUGGAUGAUACAGAGAUUAGUAAGGCUCAUGUGCAACAAUGACAUGCAAAUGUUACAAAAUCUUAGCAUUUGU
rnacentral:snRNA from 1 species